UGUGCUAGAACUUUGCUACUUUCCAGAGU
rnacentral:piRNA from 1 species